rnacentral:rRNA from 1 species
CAUGCAAGUCAGCUUGACUGAAGGAGCAAUCUGACAGUAGAGUGGCGCAAGGGUGCGUAACGCGUAAGUAACUUGCCCAAGGUAAGGAAUAACGUCGAGAAAUCGGCGCUAAUACCUCAUAAUGCAGCGGAUCCGCAUGGAUAUGUUGUUAAAGGUUUACCGCCUUGGGAUAGGCUUGCGUCUGAUUAGCUAGUUGGUGUGGUAACGGCACACCAAGGCUACGAUCAGUAACUGGUCUGAGAGGAUGAUCAGUCACACUGGAACUGAGACACGGUCCAGACUCCUACGGGAGGCAGCAGUGAGGAAUAUUGGGCAAUGCUCGAAAGAGUGACCCAGCAACGCCGCGUGGAGGAUGAAGGUAUUCUAUAUCGUAAACUCCUGUGAGAGCAGACGAAAGACAGAUUAUUAAUCUGGAUGACUGUAUGCUCAGAGGAAGCCCCGGCUAACUACGUG